UACAGAGGGGGCAAGCGUUGUUCGGAAUUACUGGGCGUAAAGGGCGCGUAGGCGGCCUGCUAAGUCGAACGUGAAAUCCCCGGGCUCAACCCGGGAACUGCGUCCGAUACUGGUAGGCUUGAAUCCGGGAGAGGGAUGCGGAAUUCCAGGUGUAGCGGUGAAAUGCGUAGAUAUCUGGAGGAACACCGGUGGCGAAGGCGGCAUCCUGGACCGGCAUUGACGCUGAGGCGCGAAAGCCAGGGGAGCGAACGGG
rnacentral:rRNA from 1 species